ACCUCAAUGGUCUAGUGGUAGAAUAGUACCCUUCCAUGGUACAGAUCCGGGUUCACUUCCCGGCUGGUGCA